GACGAACGCUGGCGGCGUGCCUAAUACAUGCAAGUCGAGCGCGUGAAGCUUUUUUGAUUCCUUCGGGAUGAAAAAUUGUGGAUCGAGCGGCGGAUGGGUGAGUAUCACGUGGGCAACCUGCCUAUAAGAUUGGGAUAACUCGCGGAAACGUGAGCUAAUACCGAAUGAUCCUUCAGGUCGCAUGACCAGGAGGUAAAAGACGGCUUUUAUGCUGUCACUUAUAGAUGGGCCCGCGUCGCAUUAGCUAGUUGGUAAGGUAAAGGCUUACCAAGGCGACGAUGCGUAGCCGACCUGAGAGGGUGAUCGGCCACACUGGGACUGAGACACGGCCCAGACUCCUACGGGAGGCAGCAGUAGGGAAUCUUCCGCAAUGGACGAAAGUCUGACGGAGCAACGCCGCGUGAGUGAUGAAGGUUUUCGGAUCGUAAAACUCUGUUGUUAGGGAAGAACAAGUACGAUAGUAACUGAUCGUACCUUGACGGUACCUAACCAGAAAGCCCCGGCUAACUACGUGC
rnacentral:rRNA from 1 species